rnacentral:RNase_P_RNA from 1 species
AGAGCGGGUCGGGCGGUCGCCGCUUCGCCGAGAGGUGGAGGGGAGGAAAGUCCGAACACUACAGGGCAGCGAGCCCGCUAACGGCGGGGAGCCUGUCGGCUGAAUGACUGCCACGCAGUCGUGAUGCUUUCGGGCGACGACAAGUGCAACAGAGAACAGACCAGCCAGCGGGCCACGCGCACCUUUCGGGGUGCGUGCGGCAGCGGGUGAUGGGUGAAACGGUGCGGCUCCGUAAGGGGCUUAAUGUAAGAGCGCACCGGCGCGUGUGGUGACACGCGCGGCCAGGUAAACUCCUCGCAGUGCAAGACCAAAUAGGGAGGCGUCACACAGGGCUGCCCGCCCGAAGCGUGCUGAUCAACAGCGCGCUACGACCUCCGGGUAGGUCGCUCGACCCGACUGGCAACAGUCGGGCUAGAUGAAUGAUCGCCGCUUCCGCCCUUACCAGGCGGGGUACAGAAUUCGGCUUACAGACCCGCUCUCAAC